GAUGAACGCUGGCGGCGUGCCUAACACAUGCAAGUCGAGCGAGGGUUUGCUUAGUAUUGAGUAUUCUAAGUCUAGAAUGUUCAAUUCUGAGCAAAACCAAGCGGCGGACGGGUGAGUAACGCGUGGGUAACCUGCCCUACACACAUGGAUAACAUACUGAAAAGUUUACUAAUACAUGAUAAUAUAUAUUUGUGGCAUCGCAGAUAUAUCAAAGUGUUAGCGGUAUAGGAUGGACCCGCGUCUGAUUAGCUAGUUGGUGAGAUAACUGCCCACCAAGGCGACGAUCAGUAGCCGACCUGAGAGGGUGAUCGGCCACAUUGGAACUGAGACACGGUCCAAACUCCUACGGGAGGCAGCAGUGGGGAAUAUUGCACAAUGGGCGAAAGCCUGAUGCAGCAACGCCGCGUGAACGAUGAAGGUCUUCGGAUCGUAAAGUUCUGUUGCAGGGGAAGAUAAUGACGGUACCCUGUGAGGAAGCCCCGGCUAACUACGUGCCAGCAGCCGCGGUAAUACGUAGGGGGCUAGCGUUAUCCGGAUUUACUGGGCGUAAAGGGUGCGUAGGUGGUCCUUCAAGUCGGUGGUUAAAGGCUACGGCUCAACCGUAGUAAGCCGCCGAAACUGGAGGACUUGAGUGCAGGAGAGGAAAGUGGAAUUCCCAGUGUAGCGGUGAAAUGCGUAGAUAUUGGGAGGAACACCAGUAGCGAAGGCGGCUUUCUGGACUGCAACUGACACUGAGGCACGAAAGCGUGGGUAGCAAACAGG
rnacentral:rRNA from 1 species